UGGUACAGAGGGCAGCCAAGUCGUGAGGCGGAGCUAAUCCCUUAAAGCCAUUCUCAGUUCGGAUUGUAGGCUGAAACUCGCCUACAUGAAGCUGGAGUUACUAGUAAUCGCAGAUCAGAAUGCUGCGGUGAAUGCGUUCCCGGGUCUUGUACACACCGCCCGUCACACCACGGAAGUUGGGGGCGCCCGAAGCCACUUAGCUAACCCUUUUGGGAAGCGAGUGUCGAAGGUGAAAUCAAUAACUGGGGUGAAGUCGUAACAAGGUAAC
rnacentral:rRNA from 1 species